rnacentral:rRNA from 1 species
GCAUAUCAAUAAGCGGAGGAAAAGAAACCAACAGGGAUUGCCCUAGUAACGGCGAAGUGAAGCGGCAACAGCUCAAAUUUGAAAUCUGGCCCUAGUGGUCCGAGUUGUAAUUUGUAGAGGAUGCUUUGGGUGCGGUGCCUUCUGAGUUCCCUGGAACGGGACGCCAGAGAGGGUGAGAGCCCCGUACGGUUGGACACCUAGCCUAUAUAUAGCUCCUUCGACGAGUCGAGUAGUUUGGGAAUGCUGCUCUAAAUGGGAGGUAUAUUUCUUCUAAAGCUAAAUACCGGCCAGAGACCGAUAGCGCACAAGUAGAGUGAUCGAAAGAUGAAAAGCACUUUGAAAAGAGGGUUAAAUAGCACGUGAAAUUGUUGAAAGGGAAGCGUUUGCGACCAGACCUUUUCCGGGCGGAUCAUCCGGCGUUCUCGCCGGUGCACUUCGCCCGGUUUAGGCCAGCAUCGGUUUUCUUAGGGGGAUAAAGGCCAGGGGAACGUAGCUCUUUCGGGAGUGUUAUAGCCCCUGGUGUAAUACCCUUCAGGGGACCGAGGACCGCGCUUUUGCAAGGAUGCUGGCGUAAUGGUCGUCAACGACCCGUCUUGAAACACGGACCAAGGAGUCGAACAUUGGUGCGAGUGUUUGGGUGUUAAACCCUCACGCGUAAUGAAAGUGAACGGAGGUGAGAGCCCUUACGGGUGCAUCAUCGACCGAUCCUGAUGUCUUCGGAUGGAUUUGAGUAAGAGCAUCACUGUUCGGACCCGAAAGAUGGUGAACUAUGCGUGGAUAGGGUGAAGCCAGAGGAAACUCUGGUGGAGGCUCGCAGCGGUUCUGACGUGCAAAUCGAUCGUCAAAUCUGCGCAUGGGGGCGAAAGACUUAUCGAACCAUCUAGUAGCUGGUUACC